rnacentral:rRNA from 1 species
CUCUUGUGGGGGGUUAGUGGCGACGGGUGAGUACACGUGAGUACCUGCCCUUGACUCUGGGAUAAGCCUGGGAAACCGGGUCUAAUACUGGAUACGACCUUCUGGCGCAUGCCAUGUUGGUGGAAAGCUUUUGUGGUUUUGGAUGGACUCGCGGCCUAUCAGCUUGUUGGUGGGGUAAUGGCCUACCAAGGCGACGACGGGUAGCCGGCCUGAGAGGGUGACCGGCCACACUGGGACUGACACACGGCCCAGACUCCUACGGGAGGCAGCAGUGGGGAAUAUUGCACAAUGGGCGCAAGCCUGAUGCAGCGACGCCGCGUGAGGGAUGAAGGCCUUCGGGUUGUAAACCUCUUUCAGUAGGGAAGAAGCCGGCCUUUGGGUUGGUGACGGUACCUGCAGAAGAAGCGCCGGCUAACUACGUGCCAGCAGCCGCGGUAAUACGUANGGCGCAAGCGUUAUCCGGAUUUUUUGGGGGGCCUAAAGAA